rnacentral:tRNA from 1 species
GGAGAGAUGGCCAACUGGUUUAAGGCGUAGUAAUGGAACUGCUACGUAGGCAUUUGUUUACCAAAGGUUUGAAUCCCUCUUUUUUCG